AUUGAACUCUGGCGGCAGGCCUAACACAUGCAAGUCGAGCGAGCGGCGGACGGGUGAGUAAUGUAUGGGGAUCUGCCCGAUUGCGGGGGAUAACUACUGGAAACGGUAGCUAAUUCCGCAUACAAUCAGAUGAACCCAUAUGGGAUUAGCUUGUCGGUGAUGUAACGGAUCACCUAGGCGACGAUCCCUAGCUGGUCUGAGCGGAUUAUCAGCAACUCUGCGACUUGGACGCGGCCCAGACUCCGACGGGAGGCAGCAGUUUGAAGUCUUGCACAAUGGGCACAAGCCUGAUGCGGCCAAGCCGCGAGUAGGUAGAGGGCCUUCGGGUUGUAAAGUACUUUCAGCUGUGGGUCGUUACCCGCAGAAGAAGCACCGGCUAACUCCGUGCCAGCAGCCGCGGUAAUAC
rnacentral:rRNA from 1 species